rnacentral:rRNA from 1 species
GGUGUAAGCGGCUUGGUAAGUCGGGUGUGAAAGCCCUGGGCCCAACCCAGGAACUGCACUCGAAACUGCCUCGCUAGAGUCUCGGAGAGGGUGGCGGAAUUCCCGGUGUAGAGGUGAAAUUCGUAGAUAUCGGGAGGAACACCAGUGGCGAAGGCGGCCACCUGGACGAUGACUGACGCUCAGACCCGAAAGCGUGGGGAGCAAACA